CGCUGUUAUGUGUGCCAGACAAAUCUCAUAUGACCACAAAAUUCAUGAGCAGUCAUUUGAAAUCAAUAUAAUUUUAACCAUGCAGAGAUUGAAUAUGAAAAUUCAUAUAUCAAGCAAGGCUGUAAUGACUAUACAGCUGAAGAGCCAAUCACCACAUUCUACUGUAUUUUUCCAUUAAUGAUCACAAAUGCAUCUAGAAAACCAAAUUAUGCGGAUUCAGUUUGAGAUAAUGAAGUUAGGCAAAACCUUUUUAGUUCCACUAGGAGUUG
rnacentral:misc_RNA from 1 species